rnacentral:tRNA from 1 species
GGUUCUGUAGUCAAUUAUGAUUUUAAAUUGCAAAUUUAAAGGUGAGGAAAAUUCUUCAGAGCUU